ensembl:miRNA MIR582 microRNA 582
AUCUGUACUCUUUUGUUACAGUUGUUCAACCAGUUACUAGUCUAACUAAUUGUAACCCGUUGAACAACUGAACCCAAAGGGUGCAAAGUAGAAACAUU